rnacentral:rRNA from 1 species
UAGCGGAGGGUGCGAGCGUUGUCCGGAAUCACUGGGCGUAAAGGGCGCGUAGGUGGCGCGAGGAGUCUGUGGUGAAAGCCCGAGGCUCAACUUCGGGUCGGCCGCGGAUACUCUCGUGCUGGAGGGUGGGUAGAGGCCAAUGGAAAUUCCGGGUGUAGCGGUGGAAUGCGUAGAGAUCCGGAAGAACACCGGUGGCGAAGGCGGUUGGCUGGGCCACACCUGACACUGAGGCGCGGACAGCGUGGGAGCAACAGG